GUUUAUUUUGGAUGGUCCGGAGUUUUUGGCUGCAACUAUGUUGGACAGAGAUAUGCUUGCUAUUGCUGUAAAUUGGUACCAUGUCGGUUGGUUUUGCUUGGUAAGAUUUGUGACGAUGCGUCGGACAAACAACAUUGGGAAAAUAUACAGCCUUGAGCCUUGAUGACCAAUGUAUAUCUCUAUUUGAGGAAUUCUCCAAAGAU